AAAACGACUCUCGGCAACGGAUAUCUCGGCUCUCGCAUCGAUGAAGAACGUAGCGAACUGCGAUACUUGGUGUGAAUUGCAGAAUUCCGUGAAUCAUCGAGUCUUUGAACGCAAGUUGCGCCCAAAGCCAUNCCGNCGAGGGNUCGNCUGNUNNNGGGUCACG
rnacentral:rRNA from 1 species